rnacentral:rRNA from 1 species
CACGUAGGGUGCGAGCGUUGUCCGGAAUUAUUGGGCGUAAAGAGCUCGUAGGCGGUGUGUCGCGUCGGCCGUGAAAACCUGGGGCUUAACUCUGGGCUUGCGGUCGAUACGGGCAUCACUGGAGUUCGGCAGGGGAGACUGGAAUUCCUGGUGUAGCGGUGAAAUGCGCAGAUAUCAGGAGGAACACCGGUGGCGAAGGCGGGUCUCUAGGCCGAUACUGACGCUGAGGAGCGAAAGCGUGGGGAGCGAACAGG